rnacentral:rRNA from 1 species
CAAGGGUGCUGACGAGUGGCGAACGGGUGAGUAACGCGUGGAUACAUGACUUUUAGUGGGGGACAACAGUUGGAAACGACUGCUAAUACCGCAUACGCCCUACGGGGGAAAGCCGCAAGGCGCUUAAAGAGUGGUCCGCGUCCGAUUAGCUAGUUGGUGGGGUAAAGGCCUACCAAGGCGACGAUCGGUAGCUGGUCUUAGAGGAUGAUCAGCCACACUGGGACUGAGACACGGCCCAGACUCCUACGUGAGGCAGCAGUGGGGAAUAUUGCGCAAUGGGGGAAACCCUGACGCAGCAAUUCCGCGUGGGUGAAGAAGGCCUUCGGGUUGUAAAGCCCUUCUAGCAGGAAAGAUUGUGACGGUACCUGCAGAAAAAGCUCCGGCUAACUCCGUGCCAGCAGCCGCGGUAAUACGGAGGGGGCAAGCGUUGUUCGGAAUUACUGGGUGUAAAGGGCGUGUAGGCGGUUGUACAAG